rnacentral:rRNA from 1 species
AUGCCCAUGUCGCUGCUCCUGCCGGAGACGCGGAAGCUCGGUUGCCGGGUCGUGUACCUGUGCCGGGACCCCAAGGACACGCUUGUCUCCAGGCUGCACUUCGAGAACAAGCUGGUGGCGCGGGGCGGCUGCGCCGGCCUGUCCAUGGACGACGCCUACGGCAUGUUCUGCGAGGGGUUCUCGCCCUACGGCCCUUUCUGGGACCACUGCCUCGAGUACUGGGAGGAGAGUGUGGCUAGACCGGACACCGUCCUCUUCCUCAAGUACGAGGAGAUCAAGUCGGACCCGGCGCGGGUCGUGAGGAGGCUUGCAAGCUUCCUCAGCGUCCCGCUGACUGAGGAGGAGGAGAGGUCCGGCGUGGCGGAGGAGGUGGCGAGGAUGUGCAGCUUCGAGACGCUCACGGGGCUGGAGGUGAACCAGGUCGGCGGCGUUAGCCUCGGGAAUAGAGUUCACGUUGAUAACUCUGUGUUCUACAGGAAAGGCGAGGUAGGGGACUGGGUGAACCACAUGAGCCGUGAGAUGGGGGAGAAGCUCGACGGCAUCGUCCAGGAGAAGCUCCAGGGGUCAGGGCUUGUGUUUUGA